rnacentral:rRNA from 1 species
UGGGGAAUCUUGCGCAAUGGGCGAAAGCCUGACGCAGCCAUGCCGCGUGAGUGAUGAAGGCCUUAGGGUUGUAAAACUCUUUCACCGGGGACGAUAACGACGGUACCCGGAGAAGAAGCCCCGGCUAACUUCGUGCCAGCAGCCGCGGUAAUACGAAGGGGGCUAGCGUUGCUCGGAAUUACUGGGCGUAAAGGGCGCGUAGGCGGAUCAGCAAGUUGGGGGUGAAAGCCCGGGGCUCAACCUCGGAAUUGCCUUCAAAACUGCUGAUCUAGAGUACGGGAGAGGUGUGUGGAACUCCGAGUGUAGAGGUGAAAUUCGUAGAUAUUCGGAAGAACACCAGUGGCGAAGGCGACACACUGGCCCGUUACUGACGCUGAGGCGCGAAAGCGUGGGGAGCAAACAGGAUUAGAUACCCUGGUAGUCCACGCUGUAAACGAUGAUUGCUAGUUGUCGGCAGGCAUGCCUGUCGGUGACGCAGCUAACGCAUUAAGCAAUCCGCCUGGGGAGUACGGUCGCAAGAUUAAAACUUAAAUGAAUUGACGGGGUCAUAGCUGUUU